UCGCCUACGGGGCGCAGCAGUGAGGAAUAUUGGUCAAUGGGCGCAAGCCUGAACCAGCCAAGUCGCGUGAGGGAAGACGGCCCUACGGGUUGUAAACCUCUUUUGCCGGGGAGCAAGCCUGAGCACGUGUGCCCAGGCGGAGAGUACCCGGAGAAAAAGCAUCGGCUAACUCCGUGCCAGCAGCCGCGGUAAUACGGAGGAUGCGAGCGUUAUCCGGAUUUAUUGGGUUUAAAGGGAGCGUAGGCCGGUCUUUAAGCGUGCCGUGAAAUUUUGUGGCUCAACCAUGAGAGUGCGGCG
rnacentral:rRNA from 1 species